GCAAGUCGAACGAUGAAGCCUUAGCUUGCUAAGGUGGAUUAGUGGCGCACGGGUGAGUAAUAUAUAGAUAACGUGCCUCUUAGUCUGGGAUAGCCAUUGGAAACGAUGAUUAAUACUGGAUACUCCUUCUCAAUAUAAUUUGAGUUGGGAAAGUUUUUCGCUAAGAGAUCGGUCUAUAUCCCAUCAGCUUGUUGGUAGUGUAAGAGACUACCAAGGCUAUGACGGGUAGCGGGUUUGAGAGGAUGAUC
rnacentral:rRNA from 1 species